GACAGAGGUGCCGAGCGUUAGGCGGAAUCACUGGGCUUAAAGCGUGUGUAGGCGGAUCUGUAAGUACCUUGUGAAAUCCCACGGCUCAACCGUGGAACUGCCGGGCAUACUGGCGAUCUUGAGGCAUUCAGGGGCGAGCGGAACAAAUGGUGGAGCGGUGAAAUGCGUAGAUAUCAUUUGGAACGCCAAUGGUGAAAACAGCUCGCUGGGAAUGAUCUGACACUGAGACGCGAAAGCCAGGGGAGCGAACGGG
rnacentral:rRNA from 1 species